GGUUAAUGAACUUGUAAAAGUGCUUGCUUUGAAAGCAAGAAAAAAGAGUACAACUCUUAUUAACCU
rnacentral:tRNA from 1 species